rnacentral:rRNA from 1 species
CAGCCGCCGCGGUAAUACGAAGGGGGCUGGCGUUGCUCGGAAUGACUGGGCGUAAAGGGCGCGUAGGCGGAUUGUUUAGUUAGGCGUGAAAUUCCUGGGCUUAACCUGGGGACUGCGCUUAAUACAGGCAGUCUAGAGUGAGGAAGAGGGUUGUGGAAUUCCCAGUGUAGAGGUGAAAUUCGUAGAUAUUGGGAAGAACACCGGUGGCGAAGGCGGCAACCUGGUCCUUGACUGACGCUGAGGCGCGAAAGCGUGGGGAGCAAACAGGAUUAGAUACCCCCGUAGUCCCUGUCUCUUAUAC